CUCAGUAACGGCGAGUGAAGCGGCAACAGCUCAAAUUUGAAAUCUGGCCCUAGGCCCGAGUUGUAAUUUGCAGAGGAUGCUUUUGGUGCGGUGCCUUCCAAGUUCCCUAGAACGGGACGCCAGAGAGGGUGAGAGCCCCGUACAGUUGGACACCAAGCCUUUGUAAAGCUCCUUCGACGAGUCGAGUAGUUUGGGAAUGCUGCUCAAAAUGGGAGGUAUAUUUCUUCUAAAGCUAAAUACCGGCCAGAGACCGAUAGCGCACAAGUAGAGUGAUCGAAAGAUGAAAAGCACUUUGAAAAGAGGGUUAAACAGCACGUGAAAUUGUUAAAAGGGAAGCGCUUGUGACCAGACUUGCGUCCGGUGAAUCACCCAGCUCUCGCGGCUGGGGCACUUCGCCGGCUCAGGCCAGCAUCAGCUCGCUGUCGGGGACAAAAGCUUCAGGAACGUAGCUCUCUUCGGGGAGUGUUAUAGCCUGUUGCAUAAUACCCUUCGGCGGGCUGAGGUACGCGCUCCGCAAGGAUGCUGGCAUAAUGGUCAUCAGCGACCCGUCUUGAAACACGGACCAAGGAGUCAACCUUAUGUGCGAGUGUUCGGGUGUCAAACCCCUACGCGUAAUGAAAGUGAACGCAGGUGAGAGCUUCGGCGCAUCAUCGACCGAUCCUGAUGUUCUCGGAUGGAUUUGAGUAAGAGCAUAUAGGGUUGGACCCGAAAGAAGGUGAACUAUGCGUGUAUAGG
rnacentral:rRNA from 1 species